UACGAAGGGGGCUAGCGUUGUUCGGAAUCACUGGGCGUAAAGGGCGCGUAGGCGGCUUUAUAAGUCGGGGGUGAAAGCCUGUGGCUCAACCACAGAAUUGCCUUCGAUACUGUAGAGCUUGAGACCGGAAGAGGUAAGUGGAACUGCGAGUGUAGAGGUGAAAUUCGUAGAUAUUCGCAAGAACAUCAGUGGCGAAGGCGGCUUACUGGUCCGGUUCUGACGCUGAGGCGCGAAAGCGUGGGGAGCAAACAGG
rnacentral:rRNA from 1 species